rnacentral:lncRNA from 1 species
UUUAAUAGAAGAACUUGGACAAAUAGUCAAACAUAUUUAUGUUUAAUGUAGUAUUUCCAUUUUUAUGUUGUAUGUUUUGCUUAUAUUUAUUAUUUUCGAAAUUAUAUAUAAUGUUUUUUGUUUUUUUUUUAUAAAACGGUAAUGUUACAUUAUGAAGAUAAGCCGUCUUUUUUUUUUAAGUGAAAAAUAGUAAUCUUACAUAUGUUUAAUGUAGUUUUUCCAUUUUUUAAUGCUGUAUGUUUAAAUAUUUUUUACAAUUUUCGAAAAUAAUUAUUAUUAAAAUGUAAAACUAUAUUUUAUGCCACGUGUCAUCUUUCGGGAUAAUUUUUUUCUGCUGAUGUGGACGCCCUAUGGAGGCUUAAAAGCUCUCUUUUAUUGUUUUUCCAUUUUUUAAUGCUGUAUGUUUAAAUAUUUUUUACAAUUUUCGAAAAUAAUUAUUAUUAAAAUGUAAAACUAUAUUUUAUGCCACGUGUCAUCUUUCGGGAUAAUUUUUUUCUGCUGAUGUGGACGCCCUAUGGAGGCUUAAAACCUCUCUUUUAUUAGUAGAGAUUCUCGGUUGAUUUAAAAGAGUUGUACUGUGUAUACUUUUUUUAUGUCACAUGACCGUAAACUUUAGUUACAUUAAUUAUAAGUUUAUAACAUUCGUUCCUUGUGUACAUAGUCAAAUAAUGCACCUACCUCUUUGUUUGGUUAAAAAAUAAAAAUAAAAAUUUCUAUUUAUUUCUUUUGUAACAACAUUAGUUAUUUGCAUAUGGUAUUUGCUUUGUUUUUUCCUUUAUGGAACACGUUUAUAUUUUCGUACAGCCUAGGACACUAAUAAUUUUGUUUUUAGGUCGAUC